CGCUAGCGGCAGGCUUAACACGAUGCAAGUCGAGGGCAGCACGAUGUAGCAAUACGAUGGGUGGCGACCGGCGCACGGGUGCGUAACACGUAUGGAAUCUGCCCUGUACUGGGAGAUAGCCCUCCGAAAGGAGGAUUAAUAUCCCAUGAUCGCCGAGUGGCAUCACCUUGGUCUGAAAGCUCCGGCGGUACAGGAUGACCAUGCGCACGAUUAGCUAGUUGGUGAGGUAACGGCUCACCAAGGCUACGAUCGUUAGGGGGCCUGAGAGGGUUAUCCCCCCACACUGGUACUGAGACACGGACCAGACUCCUACGGGAGGCAGCAGUGAGGAAUAUUGCGCAAUGGAGGCAACUCUGACGCAGCCAUGCCGCGUGCAGGAAGAAGGCGCUACGCGUUGUAAACUGCUUUUAACCGGGAAGAAACCCCAGGACGUGUCCUGGGUUGACGGUACCGGAGGAAUAAGCACCGGCUAACUUCGUG
rnacentral:rRNA from 1 species